rnacentral:rRNA from 1 species
CCCUUAGAUGUCCUGGGCCGCACGCGCGCUACACUGAACGGAUCAGCGCGUUUUCCCUUCCCGAGAGGGACGGGUAACCUGCUGAACCCCGUUCAUGGUAGGGAUCGGGGCUUGCAAUUAUUCCCCGUGAACCAGGAAUGCCCAGUAAGUGCAAGUCAUAAGCUUGCGUUGAUUACGUCCCUGCCCUUUGUACACACCGCCCGUCGCUACUACCGAUUGAACGUUUUAGUGAGGUACUCGGACUGAGCCUCAGAAGAUUCACGUCUUUUGUGCUGCUCGGGAAGAUUCCCAAACUUGAGCGUUUAGAGGAAGUAAAAGUCGUAACA